rnacentral:lncRNA from 1 species
GGAAGGGUGAGCUGUUGAACCUUAUCUUCUUUGAACCUACCGUUGUUCCCAACAAGGUCUUCUAAAGAAUGAUCGUCGCACUGCUGGCAGCCUGCUGAAUGGUUGAAUCGCCUCCAUCUUCAGACCACGCGAGGGAGAUUGUCCGUGGCGCUAAAGCACUAAUUGAGUGUUGACACUGUGAGCAACCCAAAGGUGACACAUAGCGAUCCCUGCCUCAGCGGCUGCUGCCACAUCACGGGUGACGAGGAGACAGUAAUAACAGGCGUGCGAAGUAAGUGGAAUGUGAAAGUGCUUUACGAGCUCCCAGAGCACUUUCCCACGCAUUACUUCCCGGAGCCUCGCGACAGAGCCGUGAGCAGCUGGA